rnacentral:rRNA from 1 species
CUUCCGUAGGUGAACCUGCGGAAGGAUCAUUUCUGAAGGCUUUUUGCCAAAACCACUGUGAACAGCUUAGACUUCGGUCUUUGCAAUUGCUUGGGUGUCGAAAGGCGCCCAAUCUUUAAAACUUUUAUAUUUGUUCUGAAACAAUGAAAAUUUAAAACUUUCAACAACGGAUCUCUUGGUUCUCGUAUCGAUGAAGAACGCAGCAAAGCGCGAUAGGUAAUGCGAAUUGCAGACGUGAGUCAUUGAAUUUUUGAACGCAUAUUGCGCUAUUAGUUUGUCUAAUAGCAUGCUUGUUGGAGUGAUAAUCUUCCUCUCAACCAUUUUUGGUAUGAGGUCUUGCUCCUUUUAGGAGUUAAAAUCAUGGAAGUGCACACGUUAAUUAACUCUGUGCAGUUAUACACUUUUCAUCCUCCAAUCAAGCAAGGUUACCCGCUGAACUUAAGCAUAUCAAUAAGCGGAGGAA